rnacentral:rRNA from 1 species
UGAGGAAUCUUGCGCAAUGGGGGAAACCCUGACGCAGCAACGCCGCGUGAGUGAGGAAGGUCUUCGGAUCGUAAAGCUCUGUCAGUUGGGAAGAAAUGCCUGAGGGUUAAUACCCUUCAGAUUUGACGGUACCAACAGAGGAAGCACCGGCUAACUCCGUGCCAGCAGCCGCGGUAAUACGGGGGGUGCAAGCGUUGUUCGGAAUUAUUGGGCGUAAAGAGCGUGUAGGCGGCCGGAUGUGUCAGAUGUGAAAGCCCUGGGCUUAACCCAGGAAGUGCAUUUGAAACUAUCCGGCUUGAGUAGGGGAGAGGGAAGUGGAAUUCCUGGUGUAGAGGUGAAAUUCGUAGAUAUCAGGAGGAACACCGGUGGCGAAGGCGACUUCCUGGCCCUAUACUGACGCUGAGACGCGAGAGCGUGGGUAGCAAACA